rnacentral:lncRNA from 10 species
CUCAGUGCCAGGGGUGGUAAAUGCUCUUUCAUUGUUCCUUGAAUGCGUGAGAAAGUGAGCAUAUGACUGCGUGAACAGAUGGAUGGAGGGAUUACUGGUGGCAUUGUGAAUGCAUCUGCCUGGCCCACCAGACUGGGAACUCCACAAAGUUAAUCCUAAAGAAGUGUGAUGAUGGUGGAAGCCUGUGGCCAAGACUGAUCAUUGGUGGAGAUAGUUUGGUUGUACAAUGGGUCUCUAUCUGUGAGUAGAGCCAACUUUCUUGAGAUGUGGGAACAGAAGCCCUCCUGAAUGGAUUCAACAUGACAACUUGCCUUCACCUCUCUUAGGUACUUGUCUAAGAUCCCCCUUUCUGGAAAACUCCAGCCAGAGAGCAAGUCUGAGAUUGGGAGAAGUGAAAAGCAGGUAAGACUUAGUUAUCAUAUACAUAUAGAUUGACCCUCUAUAGAUCCUACUUACUGCCCUGGGAAGCUCUGCGGUAGCACUCCUUGUCAUGUUAUAAAUAAUCAUGGGUUCUGAAUCUCCCGGUUAAAAGUGUCCUUGAUGCGUUUUAUGGGUGGAACAUCUUAAAGUGCAUGACAGAGCAGCAAGAAUCCACAAACUCCAAGCUUGGGGAGAGGAAGCCAGGGGCAUCUUCCAGCAAUGGACUCUCUGCCUCUCCUGUGGUCCCAGGAUCACUACCAGGUUUUAAGGGGCUCAAGGACACCAGAUGGCCUGCUGUACAGUCAGCCUUAAGGUUUUCCCAUCUCCAAGAAACUCACGAGCUGCUUAAAAUGAGUUUCCAAAUGUGUGUUUAGGCUGGAUUUACGUCUGGGUUGCUGCAUAUUAAAUGCUGAUUAUUAAAAACAUUUGCAUGGCACUUUAACAAUGAUAGAUUAUAUAUCUGUUACCUAAGUCUCAGUGAAGGCUUUAUUAAUUCAUUAUUAUUUUAUCAACAUACAAUAAACUGUUCUAUUAAAUCUAAAUUAGACAGAUAUUUGGGGAGGGAUCAUCUAAAAGGACCUCAGCCCAGACUGUCCCCAGGGAAGGACUUAAUGAAGUUUCAAACAGUUAAUAACCCUCAGUUCAUAAAUAAACCAUGGGUAUUUAAAGACCUGCAAAAUACUAGAAUAAGAUGUUGAGAUUCAACAAAGGAAGUAUGAAAGAACACUCGUGGAAUUCCCUUCCUUGAAACUCACAGAUGGAACCUCCACCUUUAGACAAUAUUUAAUGUGCACGUGAGAAUACGUGACACCCCUGGGAAUGAA